AGCUGGGGAGGGCGAAGGCAAGGAGAGGAGCGGGCGGGCGGCGGGGCUCACUCCUGCCGCCAGGGACCCAGAUCCAAAGUUCCGGACGCAGUGGCGCCGGGACUAGGUCCGAGUCCUAACUUGAGUCCCGGGUGUCCGCUGGGGUGCGCACUCGUGGGGAGUCGCGGUUGCUCCCGUUUCCCUCUCAUUCCAGUCCGACCGUCUCCCACGCGGUCCGCACACCCCCCGCCCCCAGGCGCUGACCUCUCCUGGAGAAAUCAGGCCGGGGACCGCGGACCGCUAACUCCGCCCCACGGAGCCCCUCGGAACUCGGGGUCACCGCUCUCGCCCCCACGCCCCUGGGUGCCCUCGCCCGUGGAGACGCCCCGCGCCCAUCCCAAGUUUCCCGGGCGCAGGUGUCCCGGCGCGCUCUCCAGCCCUCGGCGGAGCUCUCGUUUCAGGAAAAGGGGCGAUCAAAGAAAAAGAUUAGAACAGGCUUGGGCUGGACCCGGAGUUUAAAUAACAGCGACCUCUCCCUAAAGAGAGCGCCUGAGGGAGAACUGGGCCCCAGUGAGACGAGAAGCUGCCGCGGGGCCUCCUGGACCUGCCCCGGCCAGGCCAACCUGUUGGACGCCGGUCAGGUGGGGAGGGAGGGGCACGUGACUCACCUGCAGCUCCCGGCACACCUGGCUGCCUUCAGCUCGGUACUUGGCGGUGGAGCCUUCCUUCGAUUCUCCUGGUCCACGUGAGGUCUGGUUUCACCAGUCCAGAGAGAAGCUGCUCACAGCUGAGCUCUCCUGCACUCGCUUCCUCGCUGCUGCGCCUCCACCGCCUCCAGCCUCCCGGCCUCCGGGCUCUGCUGAGCUCCCGCCCCCGCCCAGCGCUGGGAGCCACCGCCGGGAAGUUCCCGCUCCAGCUGAGAAGGUCAAACAUCUAAGAAUCCUGCCAGAGAAAAUGAACCAUAGGCAUCUUUGUCUUCCACAAAGUGCUUCUAAGAAGGGAUUGAACUCAGGUCCUUGUGCUUGUGCAGCAGGCAGCGAAACCACUGAGCUAAAUCCCCAGCCCCAGACUCCCCUGAUUCUAAUGGGACUAAUGAGAUAUAACCUAAAAGGAGAUGGAAUUUUGGUGAAAGAUGCAAAGCAUGCGGAAUACACAGCAGUCUCCUCUCAAAGUGAGGACAGCGGGUUCCCAUUGGGCAUGGGACCACAAAACUUACUGCGCAAAAGCAUAUUAUUAAUGAAUGGGGUUGAUUCUGAUUCUUCUAUGACCCUUAAAGAUUGUUAUUACAGCAUUGAAAACUCUUACUAUGUGUUAUAAAGGUAUAAAAAAUUUAAAAAUAAUGAAACUAACAUUAUUCAGUGCUCUGUUUAAAAAUAUUAGAAAGGUUGAGAAAAGGUAAAACUUGUAAGGUGUAGUUGGAAUAGUGCUGUCUUUUUCUUCUUGUUGAAUAACUUGCUGCAGGGGUGAACAUCUACCAAAAGUCUUGGCAAAACUGUCCUACUCCUUUCUAAGGCUGAAGCAGCUCUCAGCAUGGGGUCUUGCUGCUAGCAAUAACCAUCAAUUAUCUCUGUAAGUUCCUUCAAUGCAACAGUUUUUCUAUUUUUGGCCAGUGUCAUUUUCACUGGGGCACCUUUACUUUGUCACAAUGACUUUCUUCAUUUAGUAAAUUCCUCUGAAAUCUCUUGAAUGUCAGCAACGCCAAAAUUUCCAAGAUUAACUAUCACCAUAUUUACAUUGAUUUGUAUUUUGCUUCUGGUAGAGUUUUAUUUGUUCAUUUCACUUCUGUUUUUGUUAUGAGUUCCCUCCUUUGAUAAUCCAUUUUUGCAUCAUUUUGUGUGUAUAUCACUGGGAGGAAGGAGGUCCAACUGAGUACUGCUGUGUAUGUAUGAAGUGACUAAUGGAUGUGCAGUGACCAAUCACCAACGUGCUCUGUAGGAAAGGAGGUGAUUGAUCACUAAUAUGAUGGGGGUCAGUUAUGUGUGAUUUGUGGACCAAAAACUUAACAGUAAACUCUGUAUUUUAUGCACUUUUAAUACAUGUAUCAAAUAUAACUAAAAUUUGAGCCCUGUUGUUAGGAGGAUUGUGUUUUUUCAUAUUGAGCUAAGAGUUGUAUGUAGUAAUUAAAACUUAAGCCUAUCUGAUCUGUGCAAAUUAAGGACUAAUUGGUAUGUAGCUGCUAUGCUUAGUACCACUGCUGUCAGCUUUACUCCCACUACUCUUAACUCUUCUAUUGAAUGCCUACUAUGUGCCAGCCAUUAUUUGGCUCUUUCAAAAAAUUAGCUCAUUUAAUAUUCCCAUGAAAUCUAUGUGGUAAUAUAAUCUCUAUGGUGCUGAAUGAGAAAACUGGCAUAAUCAUACUUAGGAACUUUUCUAAAAAUUCCUCAAUAAGUAGCUAGAAUGAGGCCAAUAUAAUUUGAAAGCCUAUGGUAGUCUUGUAUUUCACUUUAUCAACUACUUUUAAUUUGGUCAACUAAAGUUUCCUAGAAAAUAAGGUUCUUUAGUUGUAAUUUCAAGUGGGGCUCAGAAGAUAAUUUAUAUAUUUUUUCUUAAAUUCUUUUAUUGGUACAUUGUAGGUAUACAACACAAUUACAUUUCUCAUUGGGAAUUGUACCUUUACAUGAUGCAUCUUGGUUCUUAUUUUUUCCCAAUUCCUAGCCCUCCCUUCACCCCCUCCAGCCCC
rnacentral:lncRNA from 1 species